rnacentral:rRNA from 1 species
UGGGAUAACUUCGGGAAACCGGAGCUAAUACCGGAUAAUAUUUUGAACCGCAUGGUUCAAAAGUGAAAGACGGUCUUGCUGUCACUUAUAGAUGGAUCCGCGCUGCAUUAGCUAGUUGGUAAGGUAACGGCUUACCAAGGCAACGAUGCAUAGCCGACCUGAGAGGGUGAUCGGCCACACUGGAACUGAGACACGGUCCAGACUCCUACGGGAGGCAGCAGUAGGGAAUCUUCCGCAAUGGGCGAAAGCCUGACGGAGCAACGCCGCGUGAGUGAUGAAGGUCUUCGGAUCGUAAAACUCUGUUAUUAGGGAAGAACAUAUGUGUAAGUAACUGUGCACAUCUUGACGGUACCUAAUCAGAAAGCCACGGCUAACUACGUGCCAGCAGCCGCGGUAAUACGUAGGUGGCAAGCGUUAUCCGGAAUUAUUGGGCGUAAAGCGCGCGUAGGCGGUUUUUUAAGUCUGAUGUGAAAGCCCACGGCUCAACCGUGGAGGGUCAUUGGAAACUGGAAAACUUGAGUGCAGAAGAGGAAAGUGGAAUUCCAUGUGUAGCGGUGAAAUGCGCAGAGAUAUGGAGGAACACCAGUGGCGAAGGCGACUUUCUGGUCUGUAACUGACGCUGAUGUGCGAAAGCGUGGGGAUCAAACAGGAUUAGAUACCCUGGUAGUCCACGCCGUAAACGAUGAGUGCUAAGUGUUAGGGGGUUUCCGCCCCUUAGUGCUGCAGCUAACGCAUUAAGCACUCCGCCUGGGGAGUACGACCGCAAGGUUGAAACUCAAAGGAAUUGACGGGGACCCGCACAAGCGGUGGAGCAUGUGGUUUAAUUCGAAGCAACGCGAAGAACCUUACCAAAUCUUGACAUCCUUUGACAACUCUAGAGAUAGAGCUUUCCCCUUCGGGGGACAAAGUGACAGGUGGUGCAUGGUUGUCGUCAGCUCGUGUCGUGAGAUGUUGGGUUAAGUCCCGCAACGAGCGCAACCCUUAAGCUUAGUUGCCAUCAUUAAGUUGGGCACUCUAAGUUGACUGCCGGUGACAAACCGGAGGAAGGUGGGGAUGACGUCAAAUCAUCAUGCCCCUUAUGAUUUGGGCUACACACGUGCUACAAUGGACAAUACAAAGGGCAGCGAAACCGUGAGGUCAAGCAAAUCCCAUAAAGUUGUUCUCAGUUCGGAUUGUAGUCUGCAACUCGACUACAUGAAGCUGGAAUCGCUAGUAAUCGUAGAUCAGCAUGCUACGGUGAAUACGUUCCCGGGUCUUGUACACACCGCCCGUCACACCACGAGAGUUUGUAACACCCGAAGCCGGUGGAGUAACCUUUUAGGAGCUAGCCGUCGAAGGUGGGACAAAUGAUUGGGGUGAAGUCGUAACAAGGUAGCCGUAUCGGAAGGUGCGGCUGGAUCACCU